rnacentral:rRNA from 1 species
AGCUCCAAUAGCGUAUAUUAAAGUUGUUGCAGUUAAAAAGCUCGUAGUUGGAUUUCUGGCAGGAGCGACCGGUCACACACUCUGUGUGUGAACUUGCGUUGUCUCUGGCCAUCCUUGGGAAGAUCCUGUUUGGCAUUAAGUUGUCGGGCAGGGGAUACCCAUCGUUUACUGUGAAAAAAUUAGAGUGUUUAAAGCAGGCUUAUGCCGUUGAAUAUAUUAGCAUGGAAUAAUAAGAUAGGACUUCGGAACUAUUUUGUUGGUUUGCGUUACGAAGUAAUGAUUAAUAGGGACAGUUGGGGGUAUUCGUAUUUCGUUGUCAGAGGUGAAAUUCUUGGAUUUCCGAAAGACGAACUACUGCGAAAGCAUUUACCAAGGAUGUUUUCAUUA